rnacentral:rRNA from 1 species
CCUUUGACGUUAGCGGCGGACGGGUGAGUAACACGUGGGUAACCUACCUAUAAGACUGGGAUAACUUCGGGAAACCGGAGCUAAUACCGGAUAAUAUUUCAAACCGCAUGGUUCGAUAGUGAAAGGUGGUUUUGCUAUCACUUAUAGAUGGACCCGCGCCGUAUUAGCUAGUUGGUAAGGUAACGGCUUACCAAGGCGACGAUACGUAGCCGACCUGAGAGGGUGAUCGGCCACACUGGAACUGAGACACGGUCCAGACUCCUACGGGAGGCAGCAGAG